rnacentral:rRNA from 1 species
AUGCCACGGUGAAUACGUUCCCGGGCCUUGUACACACCGCCCGUCACACCAUGGGAGUGGGCUGCAAAAGAAGUAGGUAGUUUAACCUUCGGGGGGACGCUUACCACUUUGUGGUUCAUGACUGGGGUGAAGUCGUAACAAGGUAGCGCUAGGGGAACCUGGCGCUGGAUCACCUCCUUAAACGAUGAU